CAAAAGAGACAGAUAGUUAAGAAAGAGGAAACAAUAGGGGGUUAUCACUUUAGGGGUAUUUAUAGCCCUAUCAGUUAUCACAUGAUUUGUCUAUAUAUAUAGACAAAAAACAAACUCAUGUAAUCUCAGCACCAUACCCACUUGGGUCUGAUUCUCACCACAAGCCAACAAUUUCUUUUUUUUUAUCUUUUAAAAAGAUCAUUAUAUAAUCAAAUAAGGUGCAAAUUGUAUAUUUUGGAGUUUAUUUUAUUUUCUCUUCUGUCCCUUUUAACUUCAGUCUUUAUG